rnacentral:rRNA from 1 species
GACGAACGCUGGCGGCGUGCUUAACACAUGCAAGUCGAACGGAAAGGCCUCUUUCGGGGGGUACUCGAGUGGCGAACGGGUGAGUAACACGUGAGUAACCUGCCCUUGACUUUGGGAUAACUUCAGGAAACUGGGGCUAAUACCGGAUAGGAGCUCCUGCUGCAUGGUGGGGGUUGGAAAGUUUCGGCGGUUGGGGAUGGACUCGCGGCUUAUCAGCUUGUUGGUGGGGUAGUGGCUUACCAAGGCUUUGACGGGUAGCCGGCCUGAGAGGGUGACCGGCCACACUGGGACUGAGAGACGGCCCAGACACCGACGGGAGGGAGCAGGGGGGAAUAUUGCACAAGGGGUGGAAGCCGGAUGCAGAAACGCCGGGGGCGGGAUGACGGUCUUCGGGUUGAAAACCGCUUUCGCUCGUGACGAAGCUUUGUGUGACGGUAGUGGGUAAAGAAGCACCGGCUAACUACGUG